rnacentral:rRNA from 1 species
UACGAAGGGGGCUAGCGUUGCUCGGAAUUAUUGGGCGUAAAGGGCGCGUAGGCGGCUGUACAAGUCAAAGGUGAAAUCCCUCGGCUCAACUGAGGAACUGCCUUUGAAACUGUACGGCUUGAGGCCGGGAGGGGGUAGCGGAAUUCCCAGUGUAGCGGUGAAAUGCGUAGAUACUGGGAGGAACACCAGUGGCGAAGGCGGCUACCUGGACCGGUUCUGACGCUGAGGCGCGAAAGCGUGGGUAGCAAACAGG